AGAGUUUGAUCCUGGCUCAGGACGAACGCUGGCGGCGUGCCUAAUACAUGCAAGUAGAACGCUGAAGAGAGGAGCUUGCUCUUCUUGGAUGAGUUGCGAACGGGUGAGUAACGCGUAGGUAACCUGCCUUGUAGCGGGGGAUAACUAUUGGAAACGAUAGCUAAUACCGCAUAACAAUGGAUGACACAUGUCAUUUAUUUGAAAGGGGCAAUUGCUCCACUACAAGAUGGACCUGCGUUGUAUUAGCUAGUAGGUGAGGUAACGGCUCACCUAGGCGACGAUACAUAGCCGACCUGAGAGGGUGAUCGGCCACACUGGGACUGAGACACGGCCCAGACUCCUACGGGAGGCAGCAGUAGGGAAUCUUCGGCAAUGGGGGCAACCCUGACCGAGCAACGCCGCGUGAGUGAAGAAGGUUUUCGGAUCGUAAAGCUCUGUUGUAAGUCAAGAACGAGUGUGAGAGUGGAAAGUUCACACUGUGACGGUAGCUUACCAGAAAGGGACGGCUAACUACGUGCCAGCAGCCGCGGUAAUACGUAGGUCCCGAGCGUUGUCCGGAUUUAUUGGGCGUAAAGCGAGCGCAGGCGGUUUGAUAAGUCUGAAGUUAAAGGCUGUGGCUCAACCAUAGUUCGCUUUGGAAACUGUCAAACUUGAGUGCAGAAGGGGAGAGUGGAAUUCCAUGUGUAGCGGUGAAAUGCGUAGAUAUAUGGAGGAACACCGGUGGCGAAAGCGGCUCUCUGGUCUGUAACUGACGCUGAGGCUCGAAAGCGUGGGGAGCGAACAGGAUUAGAUACCCUGGUAGUCCACGCCGUAAACGAUGAGUGCUAGGUGUUGGAUCCUUUCCGGGAUUCAGUGCCGCAGCUAACGCAUUAAGCACUCCGCCUGGGGAGUACGACCGCAAGGUUGAAACUCAAAGGAAUUGACGGGGGCCCGCACAAGCGGUGGAGCAUGUGGUUUAAUUCGAAGCAACGCGAAGAACCUUACCAGGUCUUGACAUCCCGAUGCUAUUUCUAGAUAUAGAAAGUUACUUCGGUACAUCGGUGACAGGUGGUGCAUGGUUGUCGUCAGCUCGUGUCGUGAGAUGUUGGGUUAAGUCCCGCAACGAGCGCAACCCCUAUUGUUAGUUGCCAUCAUUCAGUUGGGCACUCUAGCGAGACUGCCGGUAAUAAACCGGAGGAAGGUGGGGAUGACGUCAAAUCAUCAUGCCCCUUAUGACCUGGGCUACACACGUGCUACAAUGGUUGGUACAACGAGUUGCGAGUCGGUGACGGCAAGCUAAUCUCUUAAAGCCAAUCUCAGUUCGGAUUGUAGGCUGCAACUCGCCUACAUGAAGUCGGAAUCGCUAGUAAUCGCGGAUCAGCACGCCGCGGUGAAUACGUUCCCGGGCCUUGUACACACCGCCCGUCACACCACGAGAGUUUGUAACACCCGAAGUCGGUGAGGUAACCUUUUGGAGCCAGCCGCCUAAGGUGGGAUAGAUGAUUGGGGUGAAGUCGUAACAAGGUA
rnacentral:rRNA from 1 species